GAGUGAGCUUGGUUUAGGCUCUUAGGUCUUGAAUCCUCCUACUUUUAGUUCUUGUGUCAAGAAUUUGAGGUGAGGGUUCAAGUGUUGGUCCCAAGGGGAAGGUGUCCGAGGCUUAAGUUUUCCUUUCCACUCUGUAUAGCCUCUAUUUUGAUAUACAUGAUUUGACUGAUGUAUAUUGCCAAACUUUAGGGCCUUUUUGUUAUACUUAACAUAAUCAUAGCCUUUCCGCUGCA